UCUCUCAGUGCUGCUCCUGCUCCUCUCACUCCAACAUCUCCGAGAAGAUUCACAGCUCAUAUGGUGCAUCAAUGUUUUGUUUUGUAGGUCUGUUGUUCUGAAACAUCAUCAUCAUGCAGUCGGUCGGAAUUCCUGCUGUUUCUGUCCUGAUUUAUCUGCUG